rnacentral:rRNA from 1 species
AUUGAACGCUGGCGGCAGGCCUAACACAUGCAAGUCGAACGAGUGGCGGACGGGUGAGUAAUGUCUGGGAAACUGCCUGAUGGUGGGGGAUAACUACUGGAAACGGUAGCUAAUCCCGCAUACCAUCAGAUGUGCCCAGAGGGUAUGUGCUUGUUGGUGGGGUAACGGCUCACCAAGGCGACGAUCCCUAGCUGGUCUGCGAGGAUGACCGGCCACACUGGAACUGAGACACGGUGCAGAGUCCUACGGGAGGCAGCAGUGGGGAAGAGUGCACAAUGGGCGCAAGCCUGAUGCAGCCAUGCAGCGUGUAUGAAGAAGGGCUUCGGGUUGUAAAGUACUUACAGCGGGGAGGCGUUACCCGCAGAAGAAGCACCGGCUAACUCCGUGCCAGCAGCCGCGGUAAUAC